GAAGAAGGAGAUUUACUUUGCAGAAAGCUAAAGGUUUGAAGAUGCGUAAUGCUGUCGUUGCUACCACGGCGGGGAAGAGACUCUUACUGCGGUCUGGAGUCUGAAGCUUGGAUUAUACAAAGUUAUCUAGGUGCUCAUUUUGAUACCCAUGAAAGCACCUCCAAGCAGCCUGGAAGAUGAGAUGAAGAUUUAAGACUUUUAUUUUUAUAUUUUAUGUUAUAGUAUUAAUGGCUAUCUUCAAGCCAUCAGAUAAGAAGGCACCGCCUGGCCUUCUUCUUGUACCCAACAGGAAAGAGAUAGCGAGAAGGGGAAGAGGAUAAACUUAAUAUUUACGAUAAUAAUUUACAUGAGAGACUCUCCGUUUCCUUUCCUUUGAGUAAUAGGGCAGAUGGAGAGAAAAGUGGAAAGAAAAGGAAUACGAAAGAGAUGAUGAAAGAUGACAGAUGAGAGUUAAGGAGAGAUAGCAAGUCUUGAGACUUAAAUUAAGAUGGCAAGGGGAGCUGCUCUACUGAUGGCACCAUUGGUACAACAAGUAGGUAGUUCUAGUGGCCUAAUUAGUUUUUUUUUUUUUUUUUUCAAAUUGAAGGAAAGCUCUUGGCUGGUUCUUUUACGGGUAAGAAAGAAGAUUUCAAAUUGUUACUUUUUUUAUUUAUUUGUGAACAAUUGACGGAUGCAGUAUGUAGAGAAGGAUAAUGACAUCCAAGUUAUAUAGUAGCAUUUCGAGUUGUGGAUUGGCUACCGUUUUUCUAAAACUAUUUAUAAGAUGCCCAUUCUUUUUCAUAUGAAACAAUUUGGUCUUUCAGUACAAAUGUUGAAAAGGCAUAUAUGGUAAUUGUCCAAUGAUCUGUUUAGGGUCUUCUUUUGGCUUAACAAGUUUAGUGAUAUGUUCUUGACAUCUUAUAAAAUAUGUGUGUGUAUGCAUUCGAACUAAACCAAAUUGGUUUAACAUUAUCAGAUCUUUUGCGCAUCUA